rnacentral:rRNA from 1 species
GACGAACGCUGGCGGCGUGCUUAACACAUGCAAGUCGAACGGAAAGGCCCUGCUUUUGUGGGGUGCUCGAGUGGCGAACGGGUGAGUAACACGUGAGUAACCUGCCCUUGACUUUGGGAUAACUUCAGGAAACUGGGGCUAAUACCGGAUAGGAGCUCCUGCUGCAUGGUGGGGGUUGGAAAGUUUCGGCGGUUGGGGAUGGACUCGCGGCUUAUCAGCUUGUUGGUGGGGUAGUGGCUUACCAAGGCUUUGACGGGUAGCCGGCCUGAGAGGGUGACCGGCCACAGUGGGACUGAGAUACGGCACAGACUCCUACGGGAGGCAGCAGUGGGGAAUAGUGCACAAUGGGCGGAAGCCUGAUGCAGCAGCGCCGCGUGCGGGAUGACGGCCUUCGGGUUGUAAACCGCUUUCGCCUGUGACGAAGCGUGAGUGACGGUAAUGGGUAAAGAAGCACCGGCUAACUACG